CCUUCGGGAGCUUAUACAGGUGUUGCAUGGCUGUCGUCAGCUCGUGUCGUGAGAUGUUCGGUUAAGUCCGCUAACGAGCGCAACCCUCGCCGUAUGUUACAAGUGUCAUACGGGACUGCCGGUAAAAAGCCGGAGGAAGGUGAGGAUGAUGUCAAGUCAGCAUGACCUUUAUAUCCAGGGCUACACACACGCUACAAUGGUCUGUACAAUUGGUUGCCAAGCCGCGAGGCGGAGCCAAUCCGUAAAGCAGGCCUCAGUUCAGAUUGCAGUCUGCAACUCGACUGCAUGAAGCCGGAGUUGCUAGUAACCGCAGGUCAGCAAUACUGCGGUGAAUACGUUCCCGGGUCUU
rnacentral:rRNA from 1 species